GAUGAAGAACGCAGCGAAAUGCGAUAAGUAGUGUGAAUUGCAGAAUUCAGUGAAUCAUCGAAUCUUCGAACGCACAUUGCGCCCCUUGGUAUCCCGAGGGGCAUGCCUGUUCGAGCGUCAUUUCACCACUCAAGCCUGGCUUGGUGUUGGGCGACGUCCCCUUUGGGGACGCGCCUCGAAACGCUCGGCGGCGUGGCACCGGCUUUAAGCGUAGCAGAAUCUUUCGCUUUGGAAGUCGGGGCCCCGUCUGCCGGAAGACCUACUCGCAAGGUUGACCUCGGAUCAGGCAGGGAUACCCGCUGAACUUAAGCAUAUCAAUAAGCGGAGGA
rnacentral:misc_RNA from 1 species